UUAGUGGCGAACGGGUGAGUAAUACGUGAGUAACCUACCUUUAACUCUGGGAUAAGCCUGGGAAACUGGGCCUAAUACCGGAUACGACCAAUCUCCGCAUGGGGUGUUGGUGGAAAGCGUUAUGUAGUGGUUAUAGAUGGGCUCACGGCCUAUCAGCUUGUUGGUGAGGUAACGGCUCACCAAGGCGACGACGGGUAGCCGGCCUGAGAGGGUGACCGGCCACACUGGGACUGAGACACGGCCCAG
rnacentral:rRNA from 1 species